GAUGAACGCUAGCUACAGGCUUAACACAUGCAAGUCGAGGGGUAACGAGAGGGAAGCUUGCUUUCCUUGUCGACGACCGGCGGAUGGGUGAGUAACGCGUAUCCAACCUGCCCUUCAGUAAGGGAUAGCCUUUCGAAAGAAAGAAUAAUACCUUAUGUGAUCGUCUGAUGACAUCAGACGACGAUCAAAGAUUUAUCGCUGAAGGAUGGGGAUGCGUCCCAUUAGGCAGUAGGCGGGGUAACGGCCCGCCUAACCUACGAUGGGUAGGGGUUUGGAGAGGAAGGUCCCCCACAUUGGAACUGAGACACGGUCCAAACUCCUACGGGAGGCACCAGUGAGGAAUAUUGGUCAAUGGCCGUAAGGCUGAACCAGCCAAGUAGCGUGCAGGAUGACGGCCCUAUGGGUUGUAAACUGCUUUUAAACGGGGAUAAAGUGAGCCACGUGUGGUUUAUUGCAGGUACCGUUUGAAUAAGGACCGGCUAAUUCCGUACCAGCCGCCGCAGUAAAAC
rnacentral:rRNA from 1 species